rnacentral:rRNA from 1 species
UACCAGCCCCGCGAGUGGUCGGGACGGUUAUUGGGCCUAAAGCGCCCGUAGCCGGCCUAGCAAGUCUCCGCGGAAAUCCCCGGGCUCAACCCGGGGGCAAGCGGAGAUACUGCUAGGCUAGGGGGCGGGAGAGGCCGGGGGUACUCCCGGGGUAGGGGCGAAAUCCUAUAAUCCCGGGAGGACCACCAGUGGCGAAGGCGCCCGGCUGGAACGCGCCCGACGGUGAGGGGCGAAAGCCGGGGGAGCGAACCGG